rnacentral:rRNA from 1 species
GAUGAACGCUGGCGGCGUGCCUAAUACAUGCAAGUCGAGCGAACGGACGAGAAGCUUGCUUCUCUGAUGUUAGCGGCGGACGGGUGAGUAACACGUGUAUAACCUACCUAUAAGACUGGGAUAACUUCGGGAAACCGGAGCUAAUACCGGAUAAUAUUUUGAUCCGCAUGGUUCUAUAGUGUAAGACGGUCUUGCUGUCACUUAUAGAUGGAUCCGCGCUGCAUUAGCUAGUUGUUAAGGUAACGGCUUACCAAGGCAACGAUGCAUAGCCGACCUGAGAGGGUGAUCGGCCACACUGGAACUGAGACACGGUCCAGACUCCUACGGGAGGCAGCAGUAGGGAAUCUUCCGCAAUGGGCGAAAGCCUGACGGAGCAACGCCGCGUGAGUGAUGAAGGUCUUCGGAUCGUAAAACUCUGUUAUUAGGGAAGAACAAAAGUGUAAGUAACUGUGCACAUAUUGACGGUACCUAAUCAGAAAGCCACGGCUAACUACGUG